rnacentral:lncRNA from 1 species
UUUCCAUCAACCUAAAACAAUGAAGAAUGAGAGAUGAAGUUAGGAGAUUGUGCCCGUGCUCGCCAUAAUCUAAUGAAACAUAAACAAAAUCAGAUCAAUGAAGGAGAAAAAUUAUGGUUUGUGUUUGAGGGAUGAAAGGUUGGGAGAUUAGGGGUCGUGUUUUAGAGCUGGAAGAUUGUGAGACUGAAAGAUUGAGACUAAGGUUUAGCGUUUUUCUUCUUUAUCAUUAGUUUUUUCCUUCUUUUGUUUGUAUUUUACUUUAUUAUUAAUUUAUAGCUUUAGUUUUACUUUAUUUUAUUUUUUUCAAUUUAGUUCUAAUUUAAUUUGAUUUUAUUAAUAUAUAAUUUUGGUUUUAUUUUAUCAAUUAGAUAAAAA